GUGCUCGCUUUGGCAGCACAUGUACUAAAAUUGGAACGAUACAGAGAAGAUUAGCAUAACCCCUGCACUAAUGAAAUCUUUAAAAAGAGGAGAAACUCAAGAGUCCUUU